rnacentral:misc_RNA from 1 species
GUAUCAAUUUUAAGCCACUACAUUUGUAAUAACAACAUCUCUUUACAACAUUCAGUAUAAUUAUGCCUGAUGACUUUUAAAUUGAAGGCAUUUUUUUUUCAAUCAGUAUUUAAGAUAGAGAAAUAUCAAAGGCAGAGUCCGUAUAUGUUAAAGAACUUGUAGAGAAAUGCUUUGAGUCUGUGACACAUGAAAUACAUGCACCAUUAUGUUUAAAUGAGGGGACUUAAACCAUUCUUUUAUAUCAUUGGAACAUGUAAUAUUGUGUUAAAUUAUGAUAUUGCUUUAUAAAUAAUUGUGUUAUUUGUUACAUGAGUUAUCAUGAUUGUAUAUAAAUAGAAUAUCAAAAUUACAU